AGAACCUCUACAUCAGAGGAGACGGCACUGGAUAUAAGAGGACUUGUGUGCCUAGUAUAGCUUUGAAGAUGAUCGGAGCCUCCUGUGUCUAUACUGCUCCAAGGGACCCUGCCUCGCACCUCAAAACCUUCAGCAUCAAGGGUACUUCAACCAACAUCAGACAGGAGGACCCUGAAACCAAAGAGUGCCCCAAAGAGAAGAACAGCCACCAUUCAUACUACUAGCACUCCUCUUCUCUCUCCCGGGUUUACCGCAGACAGCCAAGAUAUUGGAAUGCAGAGUGGGGAGUCCUCCCAAUAGAUAAAGGUCCCAAGUAUGUGAUAAAAGUGCUGCCAGACAUUACAGUCGCUGCUUGGUUGAAGACUGGCCAUGAUGUGGCUCAAAUCAACAGGGAUUGUACAGAUUACAAUUGACAGAAAUGCUAAUGCUUUCCAGUUUGAUAAUGGCUGCGCAGUCUGACAAAAUACAGCCAUUUAAAAACAGCCAGGAGUUAGCACUUCCAUCAUCUGAUCUGUGCAGCCAGCUGCUUUGGCCCCAUCACAGGCACCGCUCAGCCAUAUGACAGCCGAAAUAUUUGACAACUCCCUAAAGAAGCAGUUCAAUUCAAAAUGCUGAGCUGCUAAAAAUCCAAAAUGGGAUCUACCUGCAAGCAAUAUGAUAUAGUGGGGUAAACAUUGGAUCGUGCUAGAUUUUCACUGAGUUUGUUUUGGGUAAUAAAGGCUUUACAGAUCA